GCUAUAGCCUGUACGCUGACGUCAAUAAAAACAGUCAUUUCCAACCAGUCUGCGCAUUGACCGACCGUUCAAAACAUUACCCACAGCAUCGCGGCUGGAGCCACGCUAGACUACUCGACUGAAAUAAUUUUUCGCCGAGCCCGGAGAGCGGAGACAAUGCGGACAAAACUCCAUUGCAGGUGCAGGAGCAUCUCGAACAACCCAGGUGGUGAUGGCAGGAAAGGUCUGAUCAUGGCGGAUGAUCAUCACCAUCACCAUCACCAUCAUCCCACUGCUCUACGCUUUUAGCCUCUUUACAGUGCUGCCUUGUCUAAUCAUGUUCAAGCAGCAUUGUACAGGGCUAUGACAGCAUAGAGAGCUGAGCUGCUCAGGCGCUGCGUUUCUCUGACCCUUUUGGAUGGCGGCCAAUAAUGACAUCAUCCGUUAAAAACACUAAACGGCGAUUUUUGCAUGUAAGGAUUGUUGGCAAUAGACUGACUUGUCUUGUAAUGUUCACGCUCGUGUCGUCAAAAAACUAAGAUGCAUUGCUUUUUCAGUGUUAAAUAAAAAAAAAAGUGGAGCACAUUAAGUUCUCAGUGGGUUGAAUUAUUCAAUGCAAACCUAAAUCCCUUUGCAGCCAAUACAUUAUUGAAACAGUUAGUCACAUUGCAUUGUGCUGCUUCUGUAUGUCCAUUGCAUUUGAGUCCCACAGAGCUAAUCAUCCCCUUUUUCUUAAUUUUUGUUGUUGGACCUCUGUUCUGAAUUUGAUUUCCCCAAAUCGUUUAAGACUAUUUUAACCAUCUGGAUGAAAAAAUAUUCUGUUUGCUGCAUGAUAACACAGAUAAACGUGAGAGGCACAAACUGCAUAUAGGGCAUUGUUUGGGGAAUAUGUUUGUACUGUACUGUAUGUAUGGCUGUAGAGUGCAACUAACGAUUGUUUUCAUUGUCGAUUGCUAAAAAAAUAAAUAAAUCACAAUUCCA